UUUUUCACAAGGUCUCCUUUCUCAUCAGAUCUAAACACUGGUCUCUAAACAAACAGAAGGAAAGUAACAUUGAAACUGGCUUUAAUGCUUUUGUAGCACACUGGGCUAGUUUCAAACAAGA
rnacentral:snoRNA from 1 species